GCGAAUCAGCUCUGUACAAUUGAUAUGGAUGAAGCAUUGUACAGAG
rnacentral:ncRNA from 1 species